CAUGCAAGUCGAACGGAAAGGCCCUUCGGGGUACUCGAGUGGCGAACGGGUGAGUAACACGUGGGUGAUCUGCCCUGCACUUUGGGAUAAGCCUGGGAAACUGGGUCUAAUACCGAAUAUGACCAUGCGCCUCCUGGUGUGUGGUGGAAAGCUUUUGCGGUGUGGGAUGGGCCCGCGGCCUAUCAGCUUGUUGGUGGGGUAAUGGCCUACCAAGGCGACGACGGGUAGCCGGCCUGAGAGGGUGACCGGCCACACUGGGACUGAGAUACGGCCCAGACUCCUACGGGAGGCAGCAGUGGGGAAUAUUGCACAAUGGGCGCAAGCCUGAUGCAGCGACGCCGCGUGAGGGAUGACGGCCUUCGGGUUGUAAACCUCUUUCAGCACAGACGAAGCGCAAGUGACGGUAUGUGCAGAAGAAGGACCGGCCAACUACGUGCCAGCAGCCGCGGUAAUACGUAGGGUCCGAGCGUUGUCCGGAAUUACUGGGCGUAAAGAGCUCGUAGGUGGUUUGUCGCGUUGUUCGUGAAAACUCACAGCUUAACUGUGGGCGUGCGGGCGAUACGGGCAGACUUGAGUACUGCAGGGGAGACUGGAAUUCCUGGUGUAGCGGUGGAAUGCGCAGAUAUCAGGAGGAACACCGGUGGCGAAGGCGGGUCUCUGGGCAGUAACUGACGCUGAGGAGCGAAAGCGUGGGGAGCGAACAGGAUUAGAUACCCUGGUAGUCCACGCCGUAAACGGUGGGUACUAGGUGUGGGUUUCCUUCCUUGGGAUCCGUGCCGUAGCUAACGCAUUAAGUACCCCGCCUGGGGAGUACGGCCGCAAGGCUA
rnacentral:rRNA from 1 species